CCGCGGGUCGCGGUCCUGCCAGGGGGUCCCGGGGGGCUGCAGCGGGCCCGGGCAGGACUGGCCCUGGAGCAGCAGGUGGCACCUGGAGCCGUGCGGGCAGCAGCUGGCGGGGCUGCGCUGGUGCGGGGGUUGGUGCAGGCAAGGCGUCCGGGGACCUGCGGAGGGGAUAAAGACGCCUUGGGAAAUGUCCUGGUAACGCCCGCUCGCGGUAACCAUUUGGGAAAUCGCUGUGUCUCUGCGUGGCUGAAAUACCCUGCAAGUUGCAGAAAUUGGACACACUGGAAGGUGGAAUUCUGCUGCCUGUCCGCAGUGCCACGUAUGCCUCCUGCCCGGGGAGGUGUUGGAGUCCUCCUGUCCACGUAUGCCUCCUGUCCCUGGAGGUGUUUCCUGGACGUGGCACUCAGUGCCAUGGUGUAGUUGACAUGGUGGUGUUCGGUUGUAGGUUGGACUCGAUGAUCUCAGAGGUAUUUUCCAACCUAAUUGAUUCUGUGAUUCUGUGUGUGGUGUUACCAAAUAAAGUGCUCCAAACCCCAGUUCCAUGGCUUUAUUUUAGCUAUUCAUAAGGUCAUCAGAGCCUCUUGUUUUGCAAGCACAUGGCUGGCUGGUCAUCAGCCAAGGCCUUGAUUUCAGUGGCGCAGAGUGGGAUCAGGGGCCGCACCAGUUUGUGUGCUUGGGAUUACUUGGGGAAGGGGCUGUGUGCGCUUGGACCACAACUUUGGAGGCAUCUGCAUGCUUUGCAGUCAAAAAUAGUAACAAACCAAUGAUGCUGACAGUGGUCAGACUAGGAGUAACCAAACGACAUGAGAGGAUUUUAGUCCUGUGUGAUUCAAUCAGUGGAUGAAGUUCCACAGCAUUGACCCACCUCAUUAUUGAAAUACAUUUGGUUGCCCUUGUAGCACAUUCAACAGCUAGGUCAACUUCUAAUAGAAUGCUCAACAACUUUUCUUAUUUCUUUUUCAUCAUAGAUUUGUGCAGUUGCUUAUGUAACUCCCAAAAAAAUGUCAACCCUUCACCGACGCAAAGAAGAGAAAUUCUUCGUAAGCACUGAAGGCAGGAAAGAACCUGUAUGAAGUACACAUGAUCCCCCUACAAGGGAACUCUGUUGUGGUGCCUUCAUAUGAUGAAGAAGACUGGUGUAAGAUUUUUCUUGUUUUGAGGAAAAGAAGAAAAUCUGUCUGUUGUUACUGUAAUAAUGCAGAGGUCAGUUAUGUUUGGGGUAGAUUCUGGCAGGCCAGAUUAUGUAUCAGAUUUUGGACACAAUUUCCAGAAAACAGUCCAAUUACAUUGAAUUUCAAAAUUAAGUCAUUGUAUAACUUGAUUUCUGCUGCAAAAAAUAGCAUGGGGCACUUGUAACUACGAGUCCUCUAUUUUAAUGGACCCCAGAAGAAUGGUUGUUCAUUGCUCCUGUAAAUGCUGCAAGGCAAGAAGUAAAAAAAAAGACUUUUAAAACUGAUUUGAGAGCUUUCCACCCUUUAAACAGCAGCAGCUUCAGACGAGCAGAAAAAAGGAUGAUCUCACAGGUUCGUGUUUGACAUGGCCAUAGAUACGAGUACCUGAUACUGAGUGAAGGCUUUCAGAUGUGAUAGAAAUAAUCAAACAUGGUAGUACAGAAGCUGUCAGCUUGCUUAAGUAGAUAAAGUCAGUGCUGGUUUUCAAGGUCAGUCAUGAAGAAUGAUUUCUUUUUCUUUUAAUCUUGUGUAGAGAAUUACAAAUUUCAAAAUGAAAAAUUGGUUCCUCAGAAGAAAUAUUUUUAUCGUGCCUUUUAUCAUGUGCAUGAUUUUCUUCAGUGUUCUUUCUGCAUUCAGAAAGGACAGAACUUUGAGUUGCAGCUGCUAAGCUUGUUUGCUGAAGGUAGUGUCGUAUGAAAGAGUCGAUUUGCUCAGCUUUGCUUUGUGGUUGUUCACAGCUUGCUUGUCCAAGUGCUUCUGGUGCUUUACCUGUUGUAAUCUACUAACCUGACCUCCUCCACCUUUUCUCUAGUACCUCUUAUGAUGGAUGAAGCUUUGGAUUAUCUAGAAAAAAGACAGAAGCGAGACUUAUGAAGUCAUAGUGGUUAAUGAUGGCAGUAAAGAUCAAACUACAAAGACUCCAGCGAACACUGGCAAUGUAUUUGUGCUGACUGAAGUGGUUAUACCUCUGUGCUGUUAAUUUAUUUUCUUUUAAAGGGGUGUCUUUAGUUCUCGGGGGAAAAAAAUUCUUAUGGCUGAUGCAGAUGGAGCUACAAAAUUUGCAGAUACUGAAAAAGUAGAAGAAGGUCUAAAAAAUCUCCAGCCAUGACCUGGCAUUUGACGUGGAACUUCUUUAUAUAGCCCAGCACUUGAAAAUACCUAUAGCAGAAGUUGCUGUCAACUGGACUGAAAUAGAAGAAUUCUCAGCUCUUAAGGCCUCCUCUGAGGCAGCAUCUCUUCUGAAGAUGUGAUGUUCUUUCAGACCCAUAGGGAGGUCUCUGACACUGGGUUACUGGAAAGUAUAGCUCCAUGCAUAUUUUGUCAUAGCAAAGCCAGCUGAAGAGGUACUGCUGGCAUCUGCUCACUUACCUCCCAUCAAAAGCAGUUCCUCCAUUUUUUUUACCCUUUUUGUGUUUUUUGUCUUUUCUCAAUCUGAAUCUCUUCCCCUCAACACAACUCCUGAACAACAGACAGUACAAUGAACUGCAGUGAUGAUGAAGGGUGCAAGUAGAGAAAAUCCUGAGACAGCUUUGCUAGAAAGGAAAUGCUUCCUUUCGAUUCAGUUCCACACGUACAUUACACCUAUCACAAAUGUUAGCAGAGAUGGAAGAAGGCUUGGUUUCGUGGUGUAGGUUCCUUACUUGCCUGAAGAUUGGCACAUUCAUAUUACUGCUGUAAGAUAAGGUGGUGGUCCUCUUCUCCAAAGUUGAUAAAAAGAUCAUUUGACUAAUUAUUGGUGUUCAGGUUCCUAUUUACUUGAAUAAAGCCCUGUCAUGGAGAAGACUGUGCAUCUUGUCACAUACAUGGAAUUAUUGUGCUGCGUGCAAGCUAGAAUCUCCCACUUGCGGCAUAAUGUUAUUACUAUAAAGCAAUAACUCUCAAAAUAUAAAUUUUUAUUAAUGUUAAGAUCUAGGUUGUGUGACUGAGUGUGCUGAGAAUGCAGAGUUUCAAGACUGCUUAGGUGUGUGUCUUGCCAGUGAUCAUUUUUUUCUGAUAAUGUCCUGAUUUUCUUCUUCAUUAAUCACAGGUUCUAAGUUAGUAGAAGUUUGGAGCUGGCUGCAGAUGGGCAGGGAUCUUCUUUUUAUAUGACUGCGAUAUAUGACUGGUGCCUGGCAGCUUGAAAGAAGAAAAUAUAAUUAGGUUAUUUACAUUUUCCAAAUAUAUUAUUAUAUUUAAUGGAACAUGAGAACAGUUUCAAUCAAGUGAAGUAGUGAUGAAAGCUGAGGUAAUUUGUCAUUGCUCCUCCUCUUGUAUGUUUAAUUUUUGCAGCAUGUAUGGGUUUUGUAAGAUUGCCAGCAGGAAAUUUGUACAUUUUUAAAAGAGAAAGCAUUUCAAAAAAGAUUUUCUUACCUGAUAAUCAGUUUUUAUUUUAUUAAAUAGUAGCUUUAACAUGUCUUAUAAAUUAUUUCAAAUAAAUAUAUCUACUUUUGUCUCAUCACACUUCUGGAAUUUCCAUAUACAUAUUAAAAAGAGGCACUCUAUUCUGCAUUGUGCAAUGUUGUGUCGUGAAUGACCUCAACCAUUUGUUUCUGUGAUAUCUGGAAAUUUUAGGCCAUAUUGCAACUUGGAAUUAUCAUUCAUGGUUCACACUGAUGCAUGUUUAGAUUCAAUGUUAUGGGAAACAUUAAUGGAUUUUACUGAGUUAUAACAGUAAUGUUCUUAAGGUUGUUCUCAGGACUUUUCAGUAGUCUCUUAAAAUUCCAGAUGUUUUUGUCUGAAGCUGAAAUAGUUUUCCUGAGAUCAAACUGCAGAUCAUGUGCAGAUUGUAGAAGGUCCAAGACCAAGCACAUUUAGGUUUAAAAUGUUGUCUUUUAUAAAUGUGUUUUGUUCGUGUGUACUAAUUAUUCCUACCUACUCAAGGCUAGAAGUCCUUGACAUCUAGAGGUCUGAAGUGAAGAGGGUAUGGAAAGCUAGUUCAAAGCAUGCAAAAAUGAGACCCAGUGUACACUGGGGGGGCUGUGCAUUAGCAAUACCAAUCUGAUGUUGUCACACUUCAAAUGAGAUCAGAGAGGGAGGGAAGGGUCUUGAGUCUUUCAUAGUAAUGUCAUACUAUGUUACAGUACAGUAACACAGUUUCAUUUGUGCUUUCAAAAUACUUGUGUAUUGCCAACAAACUAAGCCAGUCUGUCUUUCAGAAAUGUACAAAUUUCAACAGAUGUAAAGAAUGAAUGGUAUAUGUUUGUACUUUCACAUGGAAAUUCACUGGUGAUUUUUCUUAUUCUUUCUGUAAUAUUGACUUGAAUUUUGUUCCUGUUAGGGUUACCGCAGUUUUCUAUCAAGUGCUGGAAUAAAUUCUCAAAAAAUAUA